rnacentral:misc_RNA from 1 species
GAUGAAGAACGCAGUGAAAUGCGAUAAGUAAUGUGAAUUGCAGAAUUCAGUGAAUCAUCGAAUCUUUGAACGCACAUUGCGCCCCUUGGUAUUCCGAGGGGCAUGCCUGUUCGAGCGUCAUUUCAACCCUCAAGCACAGCUUGGUCUUGGGCUUCGCCGCUAACCCGGCGGGUCUUAAAAUCAGUGGCGGUGCCGUCGGGCCCUGAGCGCAGUAAUCUCUCUCGCUAUAGGGUCCCGGCGGAUGCUGACCAGUAACCCCCAAUUUUCUAUGGUUGACCUCGGAUCAGGUAGGGAUACCCGCUGAACUUAAGCAUAUCAAUAAGCGGAGGA